AACGAACGCUGGCGGCAGGCCUAACACAUGCAAGUCGAGCGCCCCGCAAGGGGAGCGGCGCACGGGUGAGUAACGCGUGGGAAUAUGCCCUGGGGCUGGGGAUAACGGCGGGAAACUGCCGCUAAUACCCGGUACGCCAUGAGUGGGAAAGGAGCAAUCCGCCCUGGGAGUAGCCCGCGUUGGAUUAGCUAGUUGGUGUGGUAAGAGCGCACCAAGGCGACGAUCCAUAGCUGGUCUGAGAGGAUGAUCAGCCACACUGGGACUGAGACACGGCCCAGACUCCUACGGGAGGCAGCAGUGGGGAAUAUUGGACAAUGGGGGCAACCCUGAUCCAGCCAUGCCGCGUGAGUGAAGAAGGCCCUAGGGUUGUAAAGCUCUUUCGGCCGGGAAGAAAUCGCACAGGUUAAUACCCUGUGUGGAUGACGGUACCGGAAUAAGAAGCACCGGCUAACUACGUG
rnacentral:rRNA from 1 species